CUGGUUUCAAUCCCCAGUACCACAAAACAAAAAUCAAAAUAAAACCGUACCUUUCUCUUGUUUAAAGCCUCCCUCAGCGAUGUAGAAGAGUUAAGCUGCAGUGAGCGGGGAGGUGGCCCCAGAGCCCCUGAAGUCCCUCCUGGCACAGUGCCAAAGCGGUUCCUGUUUUGUCACGGAGCACACUUCUCACUGGAGAGCCCCCACGCUGCCUGCAAAUGGGGCCAGCGCCGGCACUGCAUUCAGGAUGCUGAGCCAGAAUAGAGACCCGUGCGGGUGACUCGUGGCCACGUCUCCUGGUCCCUCCGGGGUCACACUGGACAGGGCGAGUGUGUCAGUGACACUGCCCAGCACCACCUCCCGGGGCUGAGUGGCUGUGAAAGACCUGCUUGAGACAGCGGCGGCUGCGGGCUUCUGCUGAGGUGGACACAUUGGAGGGGCUGCGUCCCUUCCACGAGACCCCUGCUUCCUGUCCCUAACAGCACGUGGGCCUGUGGUGGGAGGAGGAGGCUGGGCGGAAACUUCAGGCUGGCAGGGGUGUGUGCCCUGCCCAGGGGACAUCCUGCUGGGUGCCAAGGGCAACACGAAAGCGAGUGACUUGGGGUUUGAGGAGCCCCAAGUCCCCUGUCCUGUGUCCUGGAAAUGUCCUGAGGCAGGGAGGUGACGGCCCCUAAGUGCACUUCUGGAGCCUGGGCUCAUCCUGCUGCUUCCCUGGACUCCAUUUGAGCUGCAGACGUCCCCUUCUCCCUGGUGCCUCUGCCAGCUUCUCACUGUCAACCCCAGGCACAGGCCCAUACUCGAGACCACCCCGGGGCACCCGCCCUGCCAGUCCUCCACUGGAGCUGCCCCCGGUCGCCUGAACCGCAAACUCUGAGGGCCCCAUCUCUCUUGGGCUGUACCUCUUGGGAGAUGACAUGGACUGAUGACGCCAUGGCCAUGUGGCUCACGCUGGGAUGCCUGGCAGGCCGGCACACAGGCUGUGCCCUCCGUGUGAAGCCUGCCACACUGGGGAUCCCACCCACUUGGCUCUCCUCCCAAGAGGAGGCCCAGCGAGCCCAUCCUGUGUGUGCCCCAUCCUCUUCUGCCCCCUGUUCACCUCUGUGGCCUACAGAUAGGGAUCCUGCUCCCAGCACAGCUGUAGCCUCUGCUGGCUGUGAGAGGCAGGCUGGGCACUGGGUGGUCAGGAGGAUGGCCGGCCAUCUGAGUCUGCGUUCGGACCCUUUGCUGCUGCUGCCGGUCAACCAGCUGGCAGGAAACCCAUCCUGGGUGUAGAAGCAAGGGACUGGAUAACAGAGACUUGUCAAAAGCAGUGGACAGCAGAAGACCCUGGACUCCAUGGAGCCUGCAGAAGAGGAGCGGGCAGGGGCGAUGCCAGCAGUUGCAGAGAGAGGAGCCUGACUGGCCAGCUGGGGGUUGGGGGCCGGUGGGCACAGAGGGCACCUGAGCGGCCUGGGAUGCUCAGGGCCCCGAGGUCAUUUCCCCAGCCUGUCUCCCUUGUUUCUGGGAUAGCAGAGGUGGAUUUGAGUAAAUUGAUGUUUUGUACAGCAAAACCUGUCCCAAAUGCAAUGUUCCAAGAGCUCAUCAUUGUUUGCUCUGGUUCCUGUGCCCUGCACAAGGCAGGACCCUGAGCAGCAGUGGUCGUCAGCACUGGGCCUCAGCCAAAAAACAAAGGAGGAAAAGUGGCUUCAGAGACUUUCAGUGUCCUCAGCACACAACAGCCAACAGCUUCUGAAGGGACAAGGCUCCGAGCUGCUGCCAUGGCCCAAGGGAAGGUGGCAGAGAGCAGGCAUGUUGUGACAGUGAGGGUUCCCUGUGCCCCGUCCCCACCUGGGGUUCUGUGCCUUUGGUUACGAUGCUGGUGUCCAGGGUGGGAUACACACGGCAUAGCCCCGUGGCUGUCCUAGCACCCAUGGUGCUGGGGCAGGGACAAGCACAUUGUUGUGACCAGCCCACUGUGUCAUAGGGGAUGAUGUUCAGGCCAGGGUACCUUGCUCCUCUCUCUGCAGCAUCUGUCACCCCCACUGACAUUCUGUGGCAGUGUGGAGGACAUAUGGGCAGUCUGUGCAUGCAUGGGCAGAGCUGUGUUCCAA